AGGGUGUAAACGCUGCAGACUUGGUGUUGGAAGCCCUUUGGGGGCAUUCAGUGCCGGAGAAAAGUUGUUAAGUCUGCUACUUGGGGAGUACGUCCGCAAGGAUGAAACUUAAAGGAAUUGGCGGGGGAGCACCGCAACGGGAGGAGCGUGCGGUUUAAUUGGAUUCAACACCGUAAAACUCACCAGGGAAGACUGUUACAUGAAGGCCGAGAUGAAGACUCUGCCAGAUUUUUCAGAGAGGUGGUGCAUGGCGUCAGUGACU
rnacentral:rRNA from 1 species